UUUCGUCUCCCCCACGCCUUCUCGCCUCUCCUCCCGUCUCCCCACUCCUCCCCACGCCCCUUCUCUUACACCCACGCCUCUCACACCCCGGGGAGGCAAGUUUAAUCUCCCCAUCAUCGGAGAGACCAAAAUCUUUCAUAUCUUUCGUCUCCCCCACGCCUUCUCCCCUCUCUUCACGUCUCCCCACGCCUCCCCAAGCCCCUUCUCUCACACCCACGCCCCUCACACCCCGGGGAGGCAAGUUUAAUCUCCCCAUCAUCGGAGAGACCAAAAUCUUUCAUAUCUUUCGUCUCCCCCACGCCUUCUCGUCUCUCCCCAUGCCUGCCCACGCUUCUUCACGCCCCAGCACCUGAACCCACGCCCCUCACACCCCGGGGACACAAUUUUACUCUCCCCAUGACUAUCAAAUCAACCUUCGACGGGGAGACAAAAACCUUCCAUCUCUUUCGUCUCUCCCACGCCUUCUCGCCUCUCCCCACGCCUUCCCGGAGCACACACAGCAGGGAGAUCAAAACCCACGCCCCUUACACCCUGAGGACACACGCCUGUUCCCCGCAAGCUCCCCGCGCCUCAAAAAGUGAAGAUCAAACAGGUUACUCCAGGAAGCCACGCCUCUCCUCCCCUCGCGAGAAGACAAGAAUCUACUCUAGGGAGACGCAUCAGGCUUCCACACCUCUGCCUUCACCUCCCCACGCCUCCUCACGCCUUCCCACGCUUCCCCACGUCUUCCCACGCCUUCUCACGCCUUCCCACGCCUUCCCAUAUCUCUACCCAAAGCAACCAUGGCGAGGAGACUAAAAAAUCCACUCCAAGAAGACACAUCAAUCCCCUUCACAUCUCUCUUCGCCUCCCCACGCCUCCCCAUAUCUCUACCCAUAACACCCGUAAGAAGACUUAAACAUCCACUCUCAGAAGACACAUGAAUACCCUUCACAUCUGUCUUCGCCUCCCCACGCCUCCACACGCCUCCCCAUGUCUCUACCCAUAACACCCAUGAGGAGAAGACUUAAAACAUCCACUCUCAGAAGCCGCAUCAUUCCCCCCUCCUCUCCCUCGUGUCUGCCUCACAUCCCACGCCUCAGUGCUCACGGCGGAGGGCCCAAGCAGCUGCCGCCACGCCUCUCCAACCCCCAACGCAAGAGGCCACAAAUAAACCAUAUCAAUAAGAGGUUACUUACCCUAAGGCGCGCCCUCAGACUGCUCGGUGACUUCGCCAAUGGGGUGAGAUAAGGCGAGGGCGGUCGGUAAAGAGUGCCUACUGAAACUCACAGGAAACUACCUACCGUGUGAGCUGAAUGGUGACCCUGAGACAGUGUGAAGAGAACCUAGCAUAGCAGGGUCGGGAAGGGAGAUAUUACUGUGUUCUUGACGGUGAUUAUGGAAGACUUUUUGUGAUUAUGAAAGUGUUUUGUGAUUAACGUGUUGGCUUGACCGUCAGUAGUCCGUUAGCCCUGAGACCGUAUAAACAGAACCUAACGUGUCAGUGUCAGCAAGGGCGAUGUUACUGUGUUCUCAACGGUGAUUAUGAAAGUCUUGGUGAUUUACGUGUUAGCGAGAUCGUUAGCUCUAAGACGGUGUAAAGAGAACCUAACGUUGCAGUGUCUGGAAGGGAGAUAUUACAAUGUUCUCAACGGUGAUUUUGAAAGUCUUUGGUGAUGAACGUGUUGGCAUGACUGUUAGCAAAGAAAAUCUAACUAACUAAUUGUGUUCUCAACGUUGAUUCUGGAAGUCUUUGGUGAUUAACGUGUUGGCUUGACCGUUAGCAAAGAAAAUUUAACGUAACAGUGUCAGGAAGGGAGGUAUAACUGUGUUCUCUACGGUGGUUGUGGAAGUCUUUGGUGAUUAACGUGUUGGCCCAGAGGCAGUGUAAGGAAAACCCAACGUAGCAGCGUCAGGAAGGGAGGUAUUACUGUGUUCUUGACGUGUUGGCGUGUUCCCGUCUCGACCAUUCUUGUGUUCGUGUGAGCGCCUCAGUGGAAGGGAACGGUGUGUGAGCAGAAGUUCCCGUGUUUCAUCCCUUCUUCUGACUGACCUGACUGACCUGACCCCGUGAAGCUGCGAGUGAUACGCGAGGAAGACGUGUUCAUUCUGUGCAGCUGGAUUGAAAUGAGUGAGUUUGGAAGACAGAGGAAAAGAGAAAGACAGAGACAGACGUUCACAAGGGAGAUAGAUGUGUUGGUUCUGUGUUGCCAUGUUGAAAAGAGUGAGUUAGGAAGACAGAAACAUCGAGAACGAGAAGGAGAAAAAGAGAAAGACAUAGAGAUACGUACAUAAGUAACACUGACGUGUGUAUUCUGUGUUGCUGUGUUGAAACGAAUGUCUGAUAGUGAGUGAGGAGAGGGACAUAUAAAGAGAACGAGAAGAAGAAGAGAAAGACAUAGAGAAACAUAUACAAAUGAGGUAGACGUCCUGUGUAGCAGAGACGACUAACAAGUAAGAUAAAAAAAACAUGGAAAAAUAAUUUGAGAGAAAGAAACGUAUUAGUAACCGUAAGAAAAGUAUUUUAAGAGAGACAAAACUCGACUCUAUUCUUCCUAUGGUGCCAAAAACGACAAUAAGAGUAAUACAGUAACUUGAAAAAGAAGAAAGAAUUAUAGAGGAAAAUACUGUGUUGUUUUAGCUUUAAGAAGAGCAACUAUAGCAAAGAAAGUGUAAAAUAACAAUAGAACCCACGAUUGAAGAGAGAGAAAAAGUAUUGCGUUAGCCUUAAGAUGAAUGUCGAAAGCGGUGAAUCCUCCUUCCCUUCAUCCUUCUCAUGGGAUGAAAAGAAGGAAAUAUUGAAGCAGAGCAGGAGAAUGUAGAAUGGAAUGAGAGGGAAUGAGAGGAAUGAGUUGAAGAUGUAUAUUAGAAUCUGUUACAAGGUUAAGGAAUGCAUUAUGUACUCUGCCAUGAUGGGAUGAAAGGAAGGGAAUGUUAGAUGAAAGGAGAAAGUAAGAUCGAAUGUCACUUGUACUUAAGGCAUGAGAGGAAUGAGUUGGAGAUAUAUACUGCAGUGUAAUAAAUAUGAUGGCUUGAGAGGAAGGGAAUGUCACAGUAAAGCAGGAGAACGUAAGAAUGCAAUAUUAUUUGUAUUUAAGGAAUGAGGGGAAUGAGUUUCAGUAUGCAGUGUGAUAAAUAUUAAGAACUUCAGUGUAAUGUAACGAGAGGAAUGACAAUACACCGCUGAAUGAGAAUUAGGAAUGAGUGUGGAAUGAAUGAAAAGGAGGAAAAGAAAGGGAAUGAGGGGUGGAAUGUUUUUAGUACGUGAGGAAUGAUAGAAAACUAUUAUAGAGUUAAUGAAAAGAGGAAAAGAAAAGGAAUGAGGGGUGGAAUGUUUUUAGUACGUGAGGAAUGAUAGAAAAUUAUUAUAGAGUUACUGAAAAGAGGAAAAGAAAGGGAAUGCAAGGAGGAAUGGACUCAAGGGAUGUUGGGGCAUGCCAAUAUGAGGUAUGAAAAGAAAGGAAUGCAAAAUGUAAUGUUUCUAGUACUUAAGAAACGAAAGGAAUUAUUAUAGAGAGAAUGUAAGGAAGAAAAGGAAUGCAAGGUGGGAAGUACUCAAAGUAUGAUAGGAAAUUAUGAUAGAUGGAAUGUAACAUGAAAAAGAAAGGGAACGCAAGAUGGAAUGACCGCGAAGAAGAAUAGGAAAAUGGUCUCGGGAAUGUAAUAAAGGGAAUGUCAUCGUACGUACUAACGAGUAACGUAAGAUGUAAUGCUUCUGGUACUUAAGGAAUCAUAGGAAAGGAACGUACCAUAGAAAAGAAAGGGAACGCAAGAUGGAAUGACCGCGAAGAAGAAUAGGAAAAUGGUCUCGAAAAUGUAAUAAAGGGAAUGUCAUCGUACGUACUAACGAGUAGCGUAAGAUGUAAUGCUUCUGGUACUUAAGGAAUCAUAGGAAAGGAACGUACCAUAGAAAAGAAAGGGAACGCAAGAUAGAAUGAACGCGAAGAAGAAUAGGAAAAUGGUCUCGGAAAUGUAAUAAAGGGAAUGUCAUCAUACGUACUAACGAGUAACGGAAGAUGUAAUGCUUCUGGUACUUAAGGAAUCAUAGGAAAGGAACGCACCAUAGAAAAGAAAGGGAACGCAAGAUAGAAUGACCGCGAAGAAGAAUAGGAAAAUGGUCUCGGAAAUGUAAUAAAGAAAAACAAGUGAAGGUGAAUGCGUAGGUCUAACGUUUCAAGGUAUUCAAGAAGCCUAACAUAUCAUAACAUUGGUGUGGCCGAGGCGAACAUUACUUACUCACUCACUCACGCCGAGACUCACCACCGCCUCCACCACCAUCACCACCACCACCACCCCUCAACUCCAACUCUCCCUUCUGUAGGCUAGACACCGCCGUUUGCACUCAUAGAAAAGGCGAUAUUUUGAACUUUUUUCUUUACGUUCUUUAGUUUUUCCAUUUUUAUUGAUUUUUCGUUUUUAUUUUUUCAUUUUUUAGUUUUUUUAAUUGUUUUUUUGUUUAUUUUAUUUUUUACUUUAUAUUAUUAUUUGAAUAGACGAUAAUUUUAACUUCUUUUAACUUUCUUCGACAUUUUCUUAACUUUUCUUUCUCUGAAUUAUUUUUUUGUGUGUUUUCGAUUUCAUAUUAUUACUUGAAAAGACGACAUUUUUUUUUUUACUUUUUCUUUACGUUCUUUGACAUUUAGGAACUUUUUUUUUAUACUUGACUUUUGUUUUAUACUUUCGACUUCAUAUUUUUACUUUUUUUCUACACUUUCGAUUCUGUACACAAUUUUUUUUGCUUGGAAAUUGCCGCCGCCGGGAUUCUGUCUCUCCGGGGUGGCUCAUUUUUAAUCCUCCCAAGCAUACCAUUAACCUUCGUGCGGGCGGAUCUAAACUUAGCCUUUCCGCGGGGUCGAUAUCGCCUUUUCCACGAGGGCGGGCGGCGCGGACGCUUAUAUUACAAAAAAUGGAAAAAAAUGUCACUUUAUCUUGUCUCUGGUUAAGGAUUUCCACUCUACUAUGGUGCUGUUUUCUGUAAAGUCUCGCAACCCUUGACGCACUCUCGCCCUGGCUGGCUGGCUGUCCCCCUCGUAGGUUUAAGUCAACCGCUGACGUCGAAACUGUUAAAUAAGUCGUAGCGUUAAGCCGCGGCCGCCCCGACUCUGUGACUGUGUGUGUGUGUGUGUGUGUGUGUGUCGAGUCACGGCGCCGCUCUGUAUAUGAUGUGAGUGACGGCCGCGCGGGCAGGGUGACUGAAUGUAAUGUUAUCACUAUACGAAGACUUGAUGUGUGAGUCUUCGUGUUUCCUCGCCUGGAGCACUUGCAGGCGAGCCCAUGAUAAUAAUAAUAAUAAAAAUAAUAAUACUAAUAAUAAUACUUAUAAUAAUGCUAUAAUAAUAUUACAUAUAAUACUAAUGAUAAAGAUAAUAAUAAUGAUGCUUCUGCUAUAACUAGACACUUACUAGUACUACUACCAUUUUUACUACUACUACUACUACUACUACUACUACUACUACCACUGCUAUUACUACUGCUACUACUACUACUAAUACACUAAUACUCUCUGGAGCCUCUUUUGGAACGAGUCUGGCAGCUAAGGCGUUCUCUUCCGCCUCAUCCUUUCCCUUCAUUUGGAGUACGUUCGCUAAUUUGUACGCCGCGGUCCAUUUAGUACGCACGCCAGGGGAAGGAAUUUGCUCUGGGGGAAAUUUGAGCUGACAUAAAAUGAACCUUUGGCAUAAUAAGAAUUUCGUCAUCAUCGUCAUCAUCAUCAUUAACAUCAUCAACACAAUCAUUUAUAACCAUCAUUAGUAGGUAUACAUCAAUAAUUCGUUGCAGUUUAAGGACUUUUCACAAUAUUUUCCACCUGGUUCUCUCUGUCUGGUGUUAGUGUACUCCAUCCUGCCCCGGUAAAGGUUCUAAUUUCAUCUCUCCACCUGGUUCUCUGUCCGGUGUUAGUGUACUCCAUCCUGCCCCGGUGAAGGUUCUAAUUUCAUCUCUCCACCUGGUUCUCUGUCCGGUGUUAGUGUACUCCAUCCUGCCCCGGUGAAGGUUCUAAUUUCAUCUCUCCACCUGGUUCUCUGUCUGGUGUUAGUGUACUCCAUCCUGCCCCGGUGAAGGUUCUAAUUUCAUCUCUCCACCUGGUUCUCUCUGUCUGGUGUUAGUGUACUCCAUCCUGCCCCGGUGAAGGUUCUAAUUUCAUCUCUCCACCUGGUUCUCUCUGUCUGGUGUUAGUGUACUCCAUCCUGCCCCGGUAAAGGUUCUAAUUUCAUCUCUCCACCUGGUUCUCUCUGUCUGGUGUUAGUGUACUCCAUCCUGCCCCGGUGAAGGUUCUAAUUUCAUCUCUCCAUAUGGUUCUCUCUGUCUGGUGUUAGUGUACUCCAUCCUGCCCCGGUGAAGGUUCUAAUUUCGUCUCCCAAUUGGUUCCCUGUGUACUCCAUCCUGCUCCGGUAAAGGUUCUAAUUUCAUCUCCUAAUCUUCCCUGUCUGGUAUAAGUGUACUCCACCCUGCCCCGGUGAAGGUUCUAAAUUCAUCUCCCAAUUGGUUCCCUGUCUUGUGUUAGUGUACUCCAUCCUGCUCCGGUAAAGGUUCUAAAUUCAUCUCCCAAUUGGUUCCCUGUCUUGUGUUAGUGUACUCCAUCCUGCUCCGGUAAAGGUUCUAAUUUCAUAUCUUCACGUGUUUUUUUGUUAGCCUUUAUUAUUACCGUUUUUAGGGGUCCACCCUCACUUUAGUUGUCCAUCUGAUACAAACAAAUGCCGUAUCUUAAUCUGCUUCUUAUUCUUAAUCGUCAGUAGGGUACCUUCAAUCAUUGUCUGUUCUAGUUAAGGUUUAUCACUACAUUCUUACAGUCGUUCAUCUUUACACUUCAUGUCACAUUCUCAGAGCAGUAUUUCCCUUGUUAUGCGUACUGAUUGGAGUCACGUGCGUACAGACUGGCUAACGCGCCCUACCCUUGUUCACCUUGUUCCUUGCUCGCCUUCCUCUGGCUCGCUGUUGGCUGCCGGCGCGUCCAACACCGCGUGCGUCCUCUGAAACUGAGCCCACAGAGGGUGUACCGGUGCUGGCUCCAUGCUUUUCCUUGAGAGAGAGAGAGAGAGAGAGAGAGAGAGAGAGAGAGAGAGAGAGAGAGAGAGUUAUGUUUACCUUAGAUUAUUUUUACUCAUUAUCUGUUAAAUGUUGACUUUCUGAGAGCUUCUAAUCAUGGUAGAUGAGAGAGAGAGAGAGAGAGAGAGAGAGAG